AGUCGAACGAUGAAGCCCUUUCGGGGGUGGAUUAGUGGCGAACGGGUGAGUAACACGUGGGCAAUCUGCCCUGCACUUCGGGACAAGCCCUGGAAACGGGGUCUAAUACCGGAUGGGACUGCCGGCCGCAUGGUCUGGUGGUGGAAAGCUUCGGCGGUGCAGGAUGAGCCCGCGGCCUAUCAGCUUGUUGGUGGGGUGAUGGCCUACCAAGGCGACGACGGGUAGCCGGCCUGAGAGGGCGACCGGCCACACUGGGACUGAGACACGGCCCAGACUCCUACGGGAGGCAGCAGUGGGGAAUAUUGCACAAUGGGCGGAAGCCUGAUGCAGCGACGCCGCGUGAGGGAUGACGGCCUUCGGGUUGUAAACCUCUUUCAGCAGGGAAGAAGCUUUUGUGACGGUACCUGCAGAAGAAGCACCGGCUAACUACGUGCCAGCAGCCGCGGUAAUACGUAGGGUGCGAGCGUUGUCCGGAAUUAUUGGGCGUAAAGAGCUCGUAGGCGGCUUGUCGCGUCGGAUGUGAAAGCCCGGGGCUUAACCCUGGGUCUGCAUUCGAUACGGGCAGGCUGGAGUUCGGUAGGGGAGAUCGGAAUUCCUGGUG
rnacentral:rRNA from 1 species